UGGGGAAUUUUCCGCAAUGGGCGAAAGCCUGACGGAGCAACGCCGCGUGAGGGAUGAAGGCCUCUGGGCUGUAAACCUCUUUUCUCAAGGAAGAAGAUCUGACGGUACUUGAGGAAUAAGCCACGGCUAAUUCCGUGCCAGCAGCCGCGGUAAUACGGGAGUGGCAAGCGUUAUCCGGAAUUAUUGGGCGUAAAGCGUCCGCAGGCGGCCUCGUAAGUCUGUCGUUAAAGCGUGGAGCUUAACUCCAUUUCAGCGAUGGAAACUGCGAGGCUAGAGUGUGGUAGGGGCAGAGGGAAUUCCCGGUGUAGCGGUGAAAUGCGUAGAUAUCGGGAAGAACACCAGUGGCGAAGGCGCUCUGCUGGGCCAUAACUGACGCUCAUGGACGAAAGCCAGGGGAGCGAAAGGGAUUAGAUACCCCUGUAGU
rnacentral:rRNA from 1 species